UACGGAGGGGGCUAGCGUUGUUCGGAAUUACUGGGCGUAAAGCGCACGUAGGCGGCUUUGCAAGUCAGAGGUGAAAGCCCGGGGCUCAACCCCGGAAUAGCCUUUGAGACUGCAUCGCUAGAAUUGUGGAGAGGUAAGUGGAAUUCCGAGUGUAGAGGUGAAAUUCGUAGAUAUUCGCAAGAACACCAGUGGCGAAGGCGGCUCACUGGCCCGAUACUGACGCUGAGGCACGAAAGCGUGGGGAGCAAACAGG
rnacentral:rRNA from 1 species